rnacentral:rRNA from 1 species
GAUGAACGCUGGCGGCGUGCCUAAUACAUGCAAGUCGAGCGAACAGACGAGGAGCUUGCUCCUCUGACGUUAGCGGCGGACGGGUGAGUAACACGUGGAUAACCUACCUAUAAGACUGGGAUAACUUCGGGAAACCGGAGCUAAUACCGGAUAAUAUAUUGAACCGCAUGGUUCAAUAGUGAAAGACGGUUUUGCUGUCACUUAUAGAUGGAUCCGCGCCGCAUUAGCUAGUUGGUAAGGUAACGGCUUACCAAGGCAACGAUGCGUAGCCGACCUGAGAGGGUGAUAGGCCACACUGGAACUGAGACACGGUCCAGACUCCUACGGGAGGCAGCAGUAGGGAAUCUUCCGCAGUGGGCGAAAGCCUGACGGAGCAACGCCGCGUGAGUGAUGAAGGUCUUCGGAUCGUAAAACUCUGUUAUUAGGGAAGAACAAAUGUGUAAGUAACUAUGCACGUCUUGACGGUACCUGAUCAGAAAGCCACGGCUAACUACGUG